rnacentral:rRNA from 1 species
UACGAACUGUGCAAACGUUAUUCGGGAUCACUGGGCUUACAGGGUGCGUAGGCGGCUUGACAAGUAGGGUGUGAAAGCCCCCGGCUUAACCGGGGAACUGCGCCCUAAACUGUCGAGCUGGAGUGAGAUAGAGGUGUGCGGAACUUCCGGUGGAGCGGUGAAAUGUGUUGAUAUCGGAAGGAACGCCGGUGGCGAAAGCGGCACACUGGGUCUCAACUGACGCUGAGGCACGAAAGCCAGGGGAGCGAACGGG